rnacentral:rRNA from 1 species
GACGAAGGGGGCUAGCGUUGUUCGGAAUUACUGGGCGUAAAGCGUGUGUAGGUGGUUGUCAUAGUCAGGUGUGAAAGCCUUGAGCUCAACUCAAGAAAUGCACUUGAUACUGGGCAGCUAGAGGACCGGAGAGGAUAGUGGAAUUCCCAGUGUAGUGGUGAAAUACGUAGAGAUUGGGAAGAACACCAGUGGCGAAGGCGGCUAUCUGGACGGUUUCUGACACUAAGACACGAAAGCGUGGGAGCAAACAGGG